rnacentral:rRNA from 1 species
UACGUAGGAGGCAAGCGUUGUCCGGAGUUACUGGGCGUAAAGCGCACGCAGGCGGUUCAGUCAGUCUGUAGGGACAGGGCACAGCUCAACUGUGUCAGGCUUACGGAAACUGCUGAACUUGAGGGCUUCAGAGGGACACGGAAUUCCGGGUGGAGUGGUGAAAUGCGUAGAGAUCCGGAGGAACACCAAAGGCGAAGGCAGUGUCCUGGGGAGUACCUGACGCUCAGGUGCGAAAGCCAGGGGAGCGAACGGG